rnacentral:rRNA from 2 species
GUUGACCUCGGAUCAGGUAGGGAUACCCGCUGAACUUAAGCAUAUCAAUAAGCGGAGGAAAAGAAACCAACAGGGAUUGCCCUAGUAACGGCGAGUGAAGCGGCAACAGCUCAAAUUUGAAAUCUGGCUCUUUCAGGGUCCGAGUUGUAAUUUGCAGAGGGCGCUUUGGCUUUGGCAGCGGUCCAAGUUCCUUGGAACAGGACGUCACAGAGGGUGAGAAUCCCGUACGUGGUCGCUAGCUAUUGCCGUGUAAAGCCCCUUCGACGAGUCGAGUUGUUUGGGAAUGCAGCUCUAAAUGGGAGGUAAAUUUCUUCUAAAGCUAAAUACUGGCCAGAGACCGAUAGCGCACAAGUAGAGUGAUCGAAAGAUGAAAAGCACUUUGGAAAGAGAGUCAAACAGCACGUGAAAUUGUUGAAAGGGAAGCGCUUGCAGCCAGACUUGCUUGCAGUUGCUCAUCCGGACUUUUGUCCGGUGCACUCUUCUGCAGGCAGGCCAGCAUCAGUUUGGGCGGUGGGAUAAAGGUCUCUGUCACGUACCUCUCUUCGGGGAGGCCUUAUAGGGGAGACGACAUACCACCAGCCUGGACUGAGGUCCGCGCAUUUGCUAGGAUGCUGGCGUAAUGGCUGUAAGCGGCCCGUCUUGAAACACGGACCAAGGAGUCUAACAUCUAUGCGAGUGUUUGGGUGUCAAGCCCGAACGCGUAAUGAAAGUGAACGGAGGUGGGAACCCGCAAGGGUGCACCAUCGACCGAUCCUGAUGUCUUCGGAAGGAUUUGAGUAAGAGCAUGGCUGUUGGGACCCGAAAGAUGGUGAACUAUGCUUGAAUAGGGUGAAGCCAGAGGAAACUCUGGUGGAGGCUCGCAGCGGUUCUGACGUGCAAAUCGAUCGUCAAAUUUGGGCAUAGGGGCGAAAGACUAAUCGAACUAUCUGGUAGCUGGUUCCUGCC